GGGAGAGAGAGAGAGUGAGAGAUGGAGGCUGGAGGAAGCCGGCGGACGACUGCGGUGAAAAAAGCAUGUGAGGAGGAAAAAGGCAGUUUGGGAGCAGGACAGUGAUGGCAGCCGGUGGAAGAAGAAGAGGCACCCUGCCGCUCGGGGCCCUCCAAACCCGAGCCCACACAGACCAGACCAAAGCAGAGGAGAUCCAAGCUGGCCUCUCCCCGGAUUGCCUCAGCAGUACAGAUGCAGACUGCCUCGUCCUCCUUUGGCUGAGCGCGUGGAGGAAGUCAGAAGCAUCACCUGUGCCUGAUCACAUGAUCGCACUCUGACCUUUUUUCUGUCUUUUUUUUUGAACUGGCACUUUUGGAAAUGAAACUUGGCCCAGAUUUAAUCACACUAAUGUUCCCUCCAACACAAUUAAUAUAAUUAAAUGUCAAAUUAAAAGUAUAUAAUGCAUGCUUUGAUCAUUUUGCUUUUGCUUUACAGGAACAAAACACGACAUUGCUUUGAAAUAUACAUGCAUGCAGCAAUAUUUGCAACACAUGCACAAGAAGCUUUUUACAUAGUAGUCCACAUUUUGCCUUUGCUUUCAAAUAGUGGCUUGAAUAAUUAAAUGGCCUACCCAGUCAAAACAGUCUUUGGUGAAAAGAGCUUUCAUGAAGAGGAGUUACUAUUUACUAUAAUCUCAUAAUUCUUCUCAAUCCCCACCACCACCCUGCACAUAUGCUUCAUGUUUGUUUAAAGCAAAUAGAAGCUGCACAAGUAAAAAGUGACAUGUGUUUAGGCUGUACUGGUUUAUGUACAGCCUGCACAGACAAAAAUAUCCCAUAGGUUUUGUGUUCACAGGUACGCGGCUAAAUAAAGUUUGUCUACAGCUGCUCCCAGUCUUAAAAACACAACAGGAGGAGGGUUAAAAAGAUUCAGAGUCCUCGAAUCCUCAGACAUCACAGCAAAUAGUCGCCUGCUUUCGAGCAACAUGCAGCGAACAUGCUCUGCGUUGUCAAACGGUUAAUUUCCCGUCAUGCAUCUGCGUUGCCACUAAAAGGUCUCUCGUUGCUGAUUAACAUAUUACCGCUGGACAUUUUCUUCCUUUUUUUCCUGCACAAAAAAGCGGGCUGUUUUACGGUAACUUAUUUAUUCCUGCAACGAGGUUUGUUUACUUGUUAAUAAGCCAGACUUAACAUUUAACUUCAUGUGCAUUUGCAAAUUUCCUCUAUUGUUGAGAAAGAUGCUGCUGAGCAUUUUUUUUGGCAUUUGGCUCACAUGAAU